rnacentral:misc_RNA from 1 species
AACUUUCAGCAAUGGAUCUCUUGGCUCUCGCAUCGAUGAAGAACACAGCGAAAUGUGAUAAGUAAUGUGAAUUGCAGAAUCAAGUGAAUCAUCGAAUCUUUGAACGCAUCUUGCGCUCCUUGGCAUUCCAAGGAGCAUGCCUGUUUGAGUGUCGUUAAACUAUCAAAACACUUUUCUUGGGUGUUUUGGACUUUGGGAGCAACUUGAUGGUCCGUUUGAGCCAGCUCUCCUCAAAACCGUUAACUUUGUAGUCCAUCUGUCUGAUAAUGUGUUUACGCUGAUUUGAGUUUCGCAGCUUCUCCUUUUCAUUUACACCCCUUUGGCCUCAAAUCAAGUAAGACUACCCGUUAAACUUAGCCAUAUCAAUAAACGCAGGCU